AUUGAACGCUGGCGGCAUGCCUUACACAUGCAAGUCGAACGGCAGCGCGGACUUCGGUCUGGCGGCGAGUGGCGAACGGGUGAGUAAUACAUCGGAACAUACCCUGUUGUGGGGGAUAACUAGUCGAAAGAUUAGCUAAUACCGCAUACGACCUGAGGGUGAAAGUGGGGACCGCAAGGCCUCACGCAGCAGGAGCGGCCGAUGUCUGAUUAGCUAGUUGGUGGGGUAAAGGCCCACCAAGGCGACGAUCAGUAGCUGGUCUGAGAGGACGAUCAGCCACACUGGGACUGAGACACGGCCCAGACUCCUACGGGAGGCAGCAGUGGGGAAUUUUGGACAAAUGGGGGCGAACCCUGAUCCAGCAAUGCCGCGUGUGUGAAGAAGGCCU
rnacentral:rRNA from 1 species